UCUGCACCAGUUUCAGGGUAUAGAAAACCUAAACCCUCUCUCAUUUUCCUUAUAUCGUUGUCCCUCUCCUACGUCGAACCGUCAUUGUCGGGUCGUCCAUUGUCGAGCAGCCACCACCAUCGUCAUCACCCGAGUCAAAGGGUUGAUCGAAAUUUUGGGAAGUUGAUCAAAACUGAAUCAUACUCGGGUUGGGUUCACUCAGUGGUGUUUUGCCAGUCAAGGCUAGCACCCAAUUGUUGCUUCGCUGUAAAUCACAUGUGAUUGGUCCAUUCACCUUGAUCAACCACGUUUAAGGAUGGAAAUCUUGGCAAUUUACUCAAGCAUGGAUGGCAAACGGAUCAAGAGGAAGCAAUGAGGCAAGCAUGAACAUGGACACUAAAGGUGAGUCAGAUCAUCAUCAUCAUCAUCAUCAUCGUCAUCAUAGGAGAUAAGUGGUCAAAGAUCGAGUUGAAGGUCAUGGAUUGUACGGAGAAGUGGUCACGUAGUUGUAUUCAUAUGUUAACAUAGUCAUCUUAACCCAGAAUGAAUGAUGUAUUUAGUUAAAGAAAGUUGAUUUAAAUGUUUUAAAGUACGCUAGAACAACAUA